UNUGGUCUGUCACUGACGCUGAGGCUNGAAAGCGUGGGUAGCAAACAGGAUUAGAUACCCUGGUAGUNCACGCCGUAAACGAUGAGUGCUAGGUGUUAGGCCCUUUCCGGGGCUUAGUGCCGGAGCUAACGCAAUAAGCACUCCGCCUGGGGAGUACGACCGCAAGGUUGAAACUCAAAGGAAUUGACGGGGGCCCGCACAAGCGGUGGAGCAUGUGGUUUAAUUNGAAGCAACGCGAAGAACCUUACCAGGUCUUGACAUCCCGAUGCUAUUCUUAGAGAUAGGAAGUUACUUCGGUACAUCGGAGACAGGUGGUGCAUGGUUGUCGUCAGCUCGUGUCGUGAGAUGUUGGGUUAAGUCCCGCAACGAGCGCAACCCUUAUUGUUAGUUGCCAUCAUUAAGUUGGGCACUCUAGCGAGACUGCCGGUAAUAAACCGGAGGAAGGUGGGGAUGACGUCAAAUCAUCAUGCCCCUUAUGACCUGGGCUACACACGUGCUACAAUGGUCGGUACAACGAGUUGCGAGCCGGUGACGGCAAGCUAAUCUNUGAAAGCCGAUCUCAGUUCGGAUUGGAGGCUGCAACUCGCCUCCAUGAAGUNGGAAUCGCUAGUAAUCGCGGAUCAGCACGCCGCGGUGAAUACGUUCCCGGGCCUUGUACACACCGCCCGUCACNCC
rnacentral:rRNA from 1 species